rnacentral:rRNA from 1 species
UAGGGAAUCUUCCGCAAUGGGCGAAAGCCUGACGGAGCAACGCCGCGUGAGUGAUGAAGGUCUUCGGAUCGUAAAACUCUGUUAUUAGGGAAGAACAAAUGUGUAAGUAACUAUGCACGUCUUGACGGUACCUAAUCAGAAAGCCACGGCUAACUACGUGCCAGCAGCCGCGGUAAUACGUAGGUGGCAAGCGUUAUCCGGAAUUAUUGGGCGUAAAGCGCGCGUAGGCGGUUUUUUAAGUCUGAUGUGAAAGCCCACGGCUCAACCGUGGAGGGUUAUUGGAAACUGGAAAACUGGAGUGCAGAAGAGGAAAGUGGAAUUCCAUGUGUAGCGGUGAAAUGCGCAGAGAUAUGGAGGAACACCAGUGGCGAAGGCGACUUGCUGGUCUGUAACUGACGCUGAUGUGCGAAAGCGUGGGGAUCAAACAGG